ACGAUGGAGCUGCGGUUCGCUCUCUGAGGCCGUGGGACGGUGACUGCGUUGGGCGUGGACGCUCCUAGCUCGCUCCCUCGGCGGCUCCUGGGACCCCAAGAUGGCGGCGGCGCUGAGGCGGCUGCGGGCGCUGGGCCGGCGGCGGCGGCGGCCACUUUCACUCACUGAGAGGAGCGGAGCAGGGACACGGGGAGCCAUGGCGGGGGGGAGGAGAGGCGCCAUAGCCAGGCCAGAACAAUCGAGCCGCUACUCAGCGGGCUUACCGCUGCCCCGCCCACGCUCACUGCUCGUCGCCCGCCCGUGGCCGUCCGCAGUGCAGCUGCGGUCGGCCUCGUGCAGCUCGCACCCCGCCGCUACAGCCUGACGCCCCGCGCGGACCGGGGUUCGGGGGGAGAUCCUGAUCCAUGCCAUCUGAGUGCAGAUUGGUCGGGGCUGGGACUGCCGAAGAUUGCCGAAAGGCGGCGGGGAGGAGGAGGAGGAUGUCAUCGCUAGAGUGAGCAAGCAGAUCUCGCGGGAGCAAAUGUCGCGAGACCUCUCCAGCUUCCAGAGGCUACUUGCAUUCCUCGGCUCCUGGCUCCCUUCUUCCAUCUAAAAGCCAGCAAUGAUGAGUAACACAGCGACUCUACAAGGGGUGGGGAGGAAAAGAACUCACCUAAGUACUGAGGGAAACAGUAUCUUGACUGGAUACCUAAGAAUAAACCAACUGAACUGUACAUAAAUUCUGUGAUCCACAUCGUACACAGCAAAGGGACUCAGCCAUACAUUAUAUGUAUCCAUUCUCCCCCAGACUCCCCUCCCAUCCAAGCUGCCACGUAACAUUGAACAGAGUUUCCUGUGCUAUAUGGUUUUUUUCCUACUGCCUGGUGCUAGUUCCUCUGAAGUAGGCAGGGGAGCCCUGUGAGCCCUUUGUAAGACCAGGACCCCCAAUAUCUGGAAGACCUGUGAGCUGCUGGCCAGAACAAGAAACACCCACUGUCCCCCCCCGCACCGCAACUUGUGAGGUGAACCUUGGGUGAUUAUCGACCGAGGUUCCACGAGCUCUCCUCCUGGUAUCAGCACAGAAUACCAGCUGCCCCAGCG